GACGAACGCUGGCGGCGUGCUUAACACAUGCAAGUCGAGCGGAGCGGCGAACGGGUGAGUAACGCGUGAGUAACUGCCCCCCUCUCUGGGAUAACAGUUGGAAACGGCUGCGAAUACCGGAUAGUGGGGGAUGACUCGCGUCCUAUCAGCUUGUUGGUGGGGUAGUGGCCUACCAAGGCGACGACGGGUAGCCGGCCUGAGAGGGUGACCGGCCACAGUGGGCUACGAGACGGACCAGACUCCAACGGGGGGCAGCAGUGGGGAAUAUUGCACAAUGGGGGCAACCCUGAUGCGGCAACGCCGCGGGCGGGAUGACGGCCUUCGGGUUGGAAACCGCUUUAAGCUAUUACGCGGUAGUGUCAGAAGAAGCACCGGCUAACUACGUGCCAGCCGCCGCGGUAAUAC
rnacentral:rRNA from 1 species